rnacentral:rRNA from 1 species
UAGGGAAUCUUCGGCAAUGGGGGCAACCCUGACCGAGCAACGCCGCGUGAGUGAAGAAGGUUUUCGGAUCGUAAAGCUCUGUUGUAAGAGAAGAACGUGUGUGAGAGUGGAAAGUUCACACAGUGACGGUAACUUACCAGAAAGGGACGGCUAACUACGUGCCAGCAGCCGCGGUAAUACGUAGGUCCCGAGCGUUGUCCGGAUUUAUUGGGCGUAAAGCGAGCGCAGACGGUUAUUUAAGUCUGAAGUGAAAGCCCUCAGCUCAACUUAGGAAUUGCUUUGGNAACUGGAUGACUUGAGUGCAGUGGAGGAAAGGGGAACUCCAUGUGUAUCGGUGAAAUGCGUAGAUAUAUGGAAGAACACCAGUGGCGAAAGCGGCUCUCUGGUCUGUAACUGACGCUGAGGCUCGAAAGCGUGGGGAGC